rnacentral:tRNA from 1 species
GGAGACGUGGUGGAGUGGUCUAACAUACCUCUUUGCUAAAGAGGCAGGCCUUAACGGGCCUCGAGGGUUCGAAUCCCUCCGUCUCCG